GUAAACAGUAUUAUGGCAGAAUCUUCAAUAUUUACUCGCUGUUUGCGAGUAAAUUAUGGUCAACGAUGUGCAAAUGAUUGUCCGGAUGUGCUCUACAACACCGCAGAGCAAAGCUUGAGAAAGGUUUCAAGUUUUAUGCAUCUUCCUACCUGUGCAAUUAUGAAGGUAACAUUAUGAGAUUCAGAGCUAGAAAAUUGUAUGUGUUACUUCAUCCUGGAGCGGACAUCCGUCAGAAGAUCCAUGCCAUCGUCUGCUAGUUAAUAGCUCCUGCUCUUGUGUGGCUGAGAGUGGGAUAUGCAAACAUUUGGUUGCUUUGCUUUUCCAGAAAGCCCAUUACUCUGAAAUGUGUAAUGUGAGUUGUCACAUGAACAAUUGUUUGGAAUGGAUCAAUUAUGUGUUAAGUUCCAUGAAACAGAUGGGUGAUUUAUUUAUUUAUUUAUUUAAUACGUAUAAGCCCAAAUACCUCUCUAUGCACAAGUUACAGAAGAAGCACCUGAUUCAAGAAAACAACUGAUUCAAUGUUAUUGUUUCUGUUUAUCUGAAUAAAAUAUUUUUUUCAAAAUGUUA